GCCCGGGUCAUUCGUCUAGUUUAAUAUAUAAACAGUGGUCAUGGCAUCUGCCCGGUAAGCGGAAGGUCGUGGGUUCGAUUCCCAUCCCUUGACA